CAGAGCAUAGCUAAGUAAGCAUAGCACCUCCUUUACACUGAGAAGUCGUCCGUUCAAAUCGGACUGCCCUGA
rnacentral:tRNA from 1 species